UAGGGAAUAUUGGGCAAUGGACGAGAGUCUGACCCAGCCAUGCCGCGUGCAGGAUGAAGGCCUUAUGGGUUGUAAACUGCUUUUGAUUGGGAACAAAAAAGCCAUGCGUGGUAAAUUGAGUGUACCAAUAGAAUAAGCACCGGCUAACUCCGUGCCAGCAGCCGCGGUAAUACGGAGGGUGCAAGCGUUGUCCGGAUUUAUUGGGUUUAAAGGGUGCGUAGGCGGUUUACUAAGUCAGUGGUGAAAGGCAGCAGCUUAACUGUUCGUACUGCCAUUGAUACUGGUAAACUUGAGUGCAGUAGAGGUAGGCGGAAUUUAUGGUGUAGCGGUGAAAUGCAUAGAUACCAUAAAGAACACCGAUUGCGAAGGCAGCUUACUAUGCUGUAACUGACGCUGAGGCACGAAAGUGUGGGGAUCAAACAGG
rnacentral:rRNA from 1 species